rnacentral:rRNA from 1 species
UACGUAGGGCGCAAGCGUUGUCCGGAUUUAUUGGGCGUAAAGAGCUCGUAGGCGGUCUGUCGCGUCGGCUGUGAAAACCCGAGGCUCAACCUCGGGCCUGCAGUCGAUACGGGCAGACUAGAGUGCGGUAGGGGAGACUGGAAUUCCUGGUGUAGCGGUGAAAUGCGCAGAUAUCAGGAGGAACACCGAUGGCGAAGGCAGGUCUCUGGGCAUUAACUGACGCUGGAGGAGCGAAAGCAUGGGAGCGAACAGG